GCCAUAUUACUCAUUCUAUCAGUUUGUGUGUAAGGUUGAACAAGUCGCUGCCACGAAACUAGUCAAGUGAGAAUGCUCAGGGAAGAACUACAGCUUCUGCAAGAGCCUGCACAAUGAGUUAUCUUCGCUCCUGUCUUAGCACAAUACCAGCUGAGGCUGCCUAUCGGAAGGUAUUCUUCA